AGUCCUUCGCCGUCCCUCGCCGUCCUUCGCCAUCGCACGCCACCGCACCCCAUCUCUCGAAAUCUGCAGACAUCUUGAUUUUUCCCACGCUGUCUGUCAGGUCUCCGCCGCCACUCGACGCCAGGGCGCCGGGUGAGUCCACAGCAGGGCGCAUGGUCGGCUCCACUCUCACCAUCGGGGGAAACUGAGGCCCCGGGGAAGGCGGCCAGAGAGGUCAGGCCCUGUCCUUGGUGCAGUGUCUCGUCCUCUUUGCCGGAGUGAGCCCCCCAGGAUUCGCGUGUCCUCGGGAAAGACACUGGCAGGCCUUGUGGGCUGUGCUGCACCUCGGACGGCUUCGCACCAGCCAGCGCCCUCUCUCUCCUGCAGCACUCUGAUCUGCACCCCCUGAGGGGCUUCCACUGUCCGCGGGGUGAGAAUGCCCCUGGGAGUGUCACAUGACUGCCGCCCCAUGUGUGUGAGAGGCGUCCUCUGGGAGAGCAUGGAUCCUGAGGUCCCAGGAACAUCCCGAGAGCCAAGUUCCCAGAUGCCAGCCAAGGGCCAUCUGACCUGUUUUGAAUCUCAAUUUCCUGAUACAGAAAACAAAGGAUUGUCAGCUGACCUCUGUCCUGUGUGCCCAGUGGCCCCAGGUGACGUGUCUUCAAGAAGAGGCUGAGCUGCGGUGCUUGUAAGAGUCAUGUGCUGUUCCUGGGGCUUGGAUGAUGUAGGGGAAGCAAGGUGAAAGUGGUAUCCCGUGGUUCCACGUUCUGUCCUGCUGUGGGGCUGUCCCUCACAUGCUUUCAGUGGCUGUUGCAGAGGAAGAGCCUCCGGAAAUCUGCGUCUCAGCCUUAGAUCCAAGGACAGUCCAAGGAAGUCCUAAGACCAUGGAGUUGGUGAUCUGGGAUCUGGGUUUGCUGAUAUUUCUCACCGUGAAUCUCUUGGUGGUGUUUGUGGGCACGAGAGGGGCAGAGAAUGGAGAGUGAGGCUACCACAUGAAGCGUCACCAGAGCUGCUCCCUGCUGCCUGCUCAGAGCACCCCGGAUCCACUGUUCAAUCUGCACAAGAUUCGGGGUCCAGACAUGGGAGACUUCAGCUGCCUCAGAGGACCGUGGACAGGGAAGGCCAGCCUCGCAUCCCUCUGUCCAUGCCUGGAAUGACUUUAAUAACCAAGAGUUUUAUUUUUGAAUUUGUAGCUGUCGUUCACUUUUUACCCACCCAUUCAAUAAACCUUACAGAAUUGCUCCA
rnacentral:lncRNA from 1 species